UACGAAGGGGGCUAGCGUUGGCUCGGAAUCACUAGGGCGUAAAGGGUGCGUAGGCGGGUCUUUAAGUCGAGGGUGAAAUCCUGGAGCUCAACUCCAGAACUGCCUUUGAUACUGAAGAUCUUGAGUUCGGGAGAGGUGAGUGGAACUGCGAGUGUAGAGGUGAAAAUUCGUAGAUAUUCGCAAGAACACCAGUGGCGAAGGCGGCUCACUGGCCCGAGUACUGACGCUGAGGCACGAAAGCGUGGG
rnacentral:rRNA from 1 species